rnacentral:tRNA from 1 species
GCGGAAGUGGCGAAACUGGCAUACGCGCCAGGUUUAGGUCCUGGUGCCUUCGGGCGUGCGGGUUCGAGUCCCGCCUUCCGCA